UGCCAUUUUCGAGGCGAUUAGUUUACUAAGAGCCCAGAUGUUGGUAUCUUAGUGGCGGACGGGUGAGUAACGCGUGGGUAACCUGCCUUACACUGGGGGAUAACACUUAGAAAUAGGUGCUAAUACCGCAUAACAGAGGGAGUCGCAUGACUUCGUCUUAAAAACUCCGGUGGUGUAAGAUGGACCCGCGUCUGAUUAGCUGGUUGGCGGGGUAGCGGCCCACCAAGGCGACGAUCAGUAGCCGGCCUGAGAGGGUGAACGGCCACAUUGGGACUGAGACACGGCCCAAACUCCUACGGGAGGCAGCAGUGGGGAAUAUUGGACAAUGGGGGGAACCCUGAUCCAGCGACGCCGCGUGAGUGAAGAAGUAUUUCGGUAUGUAAAGCUCUAUCAGCAGGGAAGAAAGAAAUGACGGUACCUGACUAAGAAGCCCCGGCUAACUACGUGCCAGCAGCCGCGGUAAUACGUAGGGGGCAAGCGUUAUCCGGAUUUACUGGGUGUAAAGGGAGCGUAGACGGUAGUGCAAGUCUGGAGUGAAAGGCGGGGGCCCAACCCCCGGACUGCUCUGGAAACUGUGCGACUAGAGUGCAGGAGAGGUAAGUGGAAUUCCUAGUGUAGCGGUGAAAUGCGUAGAUAUUAGGAGGAACACCAGUGGCGAAGGCGGCUUACUGGACUGUAACUGACGUUGAGGCUCGAAAGCGUGGGGAGCAAACAGGAUUAGAUACCCUGGUAGUCCACGCCGUAAACGAUGAUCACUAGGU
rnacentral:rRNA from 1 species